CCCUUAGAUGUCCGGGGCCGCACGCGCGCUACACUGAAGGAAUCAGCGUGGCUUUCUCCCUGACCCGAAAGGGUUGGGAAACCCGUUGAAUCUCCUUCGUGAUAGGGAUUGGGGCUUGAAAUUGUUCCCCAUGAACGAGGAAUUCCCAGUAAGCGCGAGUCAUAAGCUCGCGUUGAUUACGUCCCUGCCCUUUGUACACACCGCCCGUCGCUACUACCGAUUGAAUGGUUCGGUGAAGAUCUCGGACUUCGAUAUUUGUUCUUCAUUGAACUUAUAUAGUGGGAAGUUAUCUGAACCUCAUCAUUUAGAGGAAGGUGAAGUCGUAACA
rnacentral:rRNA from 1 species